UCAUAUGCUUGUCUCAAAGAUUAAGCCAUGCAUGUCUAAGUGCAAGCCAAAUUAAGGUGAAACCGCGAAUGGCUCAUUAAAUCAGUUAUGGUUCCUUAGAUAAUACACCAAGUUACUUGGAUAACUGUGGUAAUUCUAGAGCUAAUACAUGCAAACAGAGUUCCGACUCGAGAGGGGAGGAACGCUUUUAUUAGAUCAAAACCAAUCGGUCGCCGUGCACCCCGGUGUACGCGCGCAUCCGCAUUCGUAUUUGGUGACUCUGAAUAACCACUGAGCAGAUCGCACGGUCUCGUACCGGCGACGCAUCUUUCAAAUGUCUGCCUUAUCAACUGUCGAUGGUAGGCUCUGCGCCUACCAUGGUUGUAACGGGUAACGGGGAAUCAGGGUUCGAUUCCGGAGAGGGAGCCUGAGAAACGGCUACCACAUCCAAGGAAGGCAGCAGGCGCGCAAAUUACCCACUCCCGGCACGGGGAGGUAGUGACGAAAAAUAACGAUACGGGACUCAUCCGAGGCCCCGUAAUCGGAAUGAGCACAACUUAAAUACUUUAACGAGUAUCCAUUGGAGGGCAAGUCUGGUGCCAGCAGCCGCGGUAAUUCCAGCUCCAAUAGCGUAUAUUAAAGUUGUUGCGGUUAAAAAGCUCGUAGUUGGACUUGUGUCCCACGCCGUCGGUUCGUCGCCCGUCGACGUAACCGCACGGUUAUGUGAGUGGGACGUCCAGCCGGUGGGUCGUCUGGUCUCGCUCAUGACUGGCCGCGCACCCGGUCGUUCGCCUGGGGGUGUCUCGCGUGCGACGCGCGCGUGUCGGCUUUGCGGCUGGCCCGUCGUCGUAUCCGCUUGCCCCUCAUCUAAAGGGCGUUCGCCGAUCAGUCGUGUCGCCGCGUCGGUCGGCGAGGUGCCGGACCCAUGUUACUCGUCUCGGUGCUCUUAAUCGAGUGUCUUGACGGGCCGGCUCGUUUACUUUGAACAAAUUAGAGUGCUUAAAGCAGGCCAAUUGCCGCCUGAAUAUUGUGUGCAUGGAAUAAUGGAAUAGGAUCUCGGUUCUAUUUUGUUGGUUUUCUGAACCAGAGAUAAUGAUUAAUAGAGACUGACGGGGGCAUUCGUAUUACUACGUUAGAGGUGAAAUUCUUGGAUCGUAGUAAGACGAACAUAAGCGAAAGCACUUGCCAAGAAUGCUUUCAUUAAUCAAGAACGAAAGUUAGAGGUUCGAAGGCGAUCAGAUACCGCCCUAGUUCUAACCAUAAACGAUGCCAACUAGCGAUCCGCCGGUGUUCCUCCGAUGACCCGGCGGGCAGCUUCCGGGAAACCAAAGUGUUUGGGUUCCGGGGGAAGUAUGGUUGCAAAGCUGAAACUUAAAGGAAUUGACGGAAGGGCACCACCAGGAGUGGAGCCUGCGGCUUAAUUUGACUCAACACGGGAAACCUCACCAGGCCCGGACACUGGAAGGAUUGACAGAUUGAUAGCUCUUUCUUGAUUCAGUGGGUGGUGGUGCAUGGCCGUUCUUAGUUGGUGGAGCGAUUUGUCUGGUUAAUUCCGAUAACGAACGAGACUCUGGCCUGCUAACUAGUCGCAAAUUGACGACAUCCGCAUUCGUGCUGUCGGCGACAAAUAUAAACUCUUCUUAGAGGGACAGGCGGCUUCUAGCCGCACGAGAUUGAGCAAUAACAGGUCUGUGAUGCCCUUAGAUGUUCUGGGCCGCACGCGCGCUACACUGAAUGGUUCAACGUGUGUCUCCCCUUGACCGAGAGGUCCGGGUAACCCGCUGAAAUCCAUUCGUGCUAGGGAUCGGGGCUUGCAAUUAUUCCCCGUGAACGAGGAAUUCCCAGUAAGCGCGAGUCAUAAGCUCGCGUUGAUUACGUCCCUGCCCUUUGUACACACCGCCCGUCGCUACUACCGAUUGAAUGAUUUAGUGAGGUCUUCGGACAGUCGCUUGGCGGCGCUCGCGAGAGCCCGUCGAUGUUCGACGGAAAGAUGAUCAAACUUGAUUAUUUAGAGGAAGUAAAAGUCGUAACAAGGUUUCCGUAGGUGAACCUGCGGAAGGAUCA
rnacentral:rRNA from 1 species